UAGGGAAUAUUGGUCAAUGGGCGCAAGCCUGAACCAGCCAUGCCGCGUGCAGGAUGACGGCCCUCAGGGUUGUAAACUGCUUUUGUAUGGGAAUAAAAAAGUCCUUGCGAGGACUCUUGAAGGUACCAUAAGAAUAAGCACCGGCUAACUCCGUGCCAGCAGCCGCGGUAAUACGGAGGGUGCAAGCGUUAUCCGGAUUUACUGGGUUUAAAGGGUGCGUAGGCGGCUUUUUAAGUCAGUGGUGAAAGCCUAGACACUUAAUGUCAGAAGUGCCAUUGAUACUGAAGAGCUUGAGUCGAGGAGAGGUAAGCAGAAUUUGUGGUGUAGCAGUGAAAUGCUUAGAUACCAUGAGGAAUACCAACAGCGAAAGCGCUCUACUGGGCCGUAACUGACGCUCAGGGACGAAAGCUAGGGGAGCGAAAGGGAUUAGAUACCCCCGUAGUCC
rnacentral:rRNA from 1 species